rnacentral:rRNA from 1 species
UUGAACGCUGGCGGCAGGCCUAACACAUGCAAGUCGAACGGUAACAGGAAGAAGCUUGCUUCUUUGCUGACGAGUGGCGGACGGGUGAGUAAUGUCUGGGAAACUGCCUGAUGGAGGGGGAUAACUACUGGAAACGGUAGCUAAUACCGCAUAACGUCGCAAGACCAAAGAGGGGGACCUUAGGGCCUCUUGCCAUCGGAUGUGCCCAGAUGGGAUUAGCUAGUAGGUGGGGUAAAGGCUCACCUAGGCGACGAUCCCUAGCUGGUCUGAGAGGAUGACCAGCCACACUGGAACUGAGACACGGUCCAGACUCCUACGGGAGGCAGCAGUGGGGAAUAUUGCACAAUGGGCGCAAGCCUGAUGCAGCCAUGCCGCGUGUAUGAAGAAGGCCUUCGGGUUGUAAAGUACUUUCAGCGGGGAGGAAGGUGUUGUGGUUAAUAACCACAGCAAUUGACGUUACCCGCAGAAGAAGCACCGGCUAACUCCGUGCCAGCAGCCGCGGUAAUACGGAGGGUGCAAGCGUUAAUCGGAAUUACUGGGCGUAAAGCGCACGCAGGCGGUCUGUCAAGUCGGAUGUGAAAUCCCCGGGCUCAACCUGGGAACUGCAUUCGAAACUGGCAGGCUUGAGUCUCGUAGAGGGGGGUAGAAUUCCAGGUGUAGCGGUGAAAUGCGUAGAGAUCUGGAGGAAUACCGGUGGCGAAGGCGGCCCCCUGGACGAAGACUGACGCUCAGGUGCGAAAGCGUGGGGAGCAAACAGGAUUAGAUACCCUGGUAGUCCACGCCGUAAACGAUGUCUAUUUGGAGGUUGUGCCCUUGAGGUGUGGCUUCCGGAGCUAACGCGUUAAAUAGACCGCCUGGGGAGUACGGCCGCAAGGUUAAAACUCAAAUGAAUUGACGGGGGCCCGCACAAGCGGUGGAGCAUGUGGUUUAAUUCGAUGCAACGCGAAGAACCUUACCUGGUCUUGACAUCCACAGAACUUUCCAGAGAUGGAGGGGUGCCUUCGGGAACUGUGAGACAGGUGCUGCAUGGCUGUCGUCAGCUCGUGUUGUGAAAUGUUGGGUUAAGUCCCGCAACGAGCGCAACCCUUAUCCUUUGUUGCCAGCGGUUAGGCCGGGAACUCAAAGGAGACUGCCAGUGAUAAACUGGAGGAAGGUGGGGAUGGCGUCAAGUCAUCAUGGCCCUUACGACCAGGGCUACACACGUGCUACAAUGGCGCAUACAAAGAGAAGCGAACUCGCGAGAGCAAGCGGACCUCAUAAAGUGCGUCGUAGUCCGGACUGGAGUCUGCAACUCGACUCCAUGAAGUCGGAAUCGCUAGUAAUCGUGGAUCAGAAUGCCACGGUGAAUACGUUCCCGGGCCUUGUACACACCGC